CCCAAGAUAUUUUGCUGGACUUCUUGGCUGCACCAGAAAUUCCCUUGGUCAUUCUUGCUUUACUUCUUUGUUUUCUUCCUUCUUUGUUCUUAUUGGUUGCACCUUUAUCUCUUCUUUGACUUUCUCAAGCUCUAGGACACCCCAUAAACUCCCUUGCUCUCAUUUUCCACGGGUACACACACAAAUCAAAAAUUUCAGCUCACUUUGCUCUCUUUUUCUCUCAAGGAAAGAGCUUGGAAGCUCUCUUAAGUCCACUUUGUCAGGUCCAUGGGUCAACAAAUUAAAAGAGAGAUAAGGCUUCAUCAUCUUUUCUUCUUUCUACUCUUUUAAAAGCAACUAGAAUAGUUAAGAGCUCUCUCCCUCUUUCAUUCCUACGGAUCCAACACCAAAAGGAGGAAAAGCUCUCAAUUAUUUUCUCCCUUCCACACCUACAAGUCCAGCAGCAAGAAGGAAGCUUCUUUCAACUCUCUCAAACUCUCUACCUCUCAUACUUUUGGUCUAGCCAUUAGGAAAGGGAAAUCCUUUCAUGUGUUACCAGUAUCCAACUCUAAGCUCCUUCAACUUUAGGUUCUCGGUUCCUCUACUUUUAGUUAGCAGGUUUUAUUCUGGAGCAGAG